CGAGACCUCAGGUCAGGCGGGGCUACCCGCUGAAUUUAAGCAUAUCAAUAAGCGGAGGAAAAGAAACUAACAAGGAUUCCCUUAGUACGG
rnacentral:rRNA from 1 species